GUGGGGAAUAUUGCACAAUGGGCGAAAGCCUGAUGCAGCAACGCCGCGUGAGGGACGACGGCCUUCGGGUUGUAAACCUCUUUUAGUAGGGAAGAAGCGAAAGUGACGGUACCUGCAGAAAAAGCACCGGCUAACUACGUGCCAGCAGCCGCGGUAAUACGUAGGGUGCAAGCGUUAUCCGGAAUUAUUGGGCGUAAAGAGCUCGUAGGCGGUCUGUCGCGUCUGCUGUGAAAACUGGAGGCUCAACCUCCAGCCUGCAGUGGGUACGGGCAGACUAGAGUGCGGUAGGGGAGAGUGGAAUUCCUGGUGUAGCGGUGGAAUGCGCAGAUAUCAGGAGGAACACCGAUGGCGAAGGCAGAUCUCUGGGCCGUAACUGACGCUGAGGAGCGAAAGCGUGGGGAGCGAACAGGAUUAGAUACCCGGGUAGUCC
rnacentral:rRNA from 1 species